rnacentral:rRNA from 1 species
CCUACGGGAGGCAGCAGUAAGGAAUAUUGGUCAAUGGACGCAAGUCUGAACCAGCCAUGCCGCGUGAAGGAUGACGGCCCUCUGGGUUGUAAACUUCUUUUAUAGGGGACGAAAAAAGGGCUUUCUAGCUCGUCUGACGGUACCCUAGGAAUAAGCACCGGCUAACUCCGUGCCAGCAGCCGCGGUAAUACGGAGGGUGCAAGCGUUAUCCGGAUUUACUGGGUUUAAAGGGUGCGUAGGUGGGUCGGUAAGUCAGCGGUGAAAUCUUCGAGCUUAACUCGGAAACUGCCAUUGAUACUAUCGAUCUUGAAUCAUCUAGAGGUAAGCGGAAUAUGUCAUGUAGCGGUGAAAUGCUUAGAUAUGACAUAGAACACCAAUUGCGAAGGCAGCUUACUAUGGAUGUAUUGACACUGAGGCACGAAAGCGUGGGGAUCAAACAGGAUUAGAUACCCUGGUAGUCCACGCCCUAAACGAUGGAUACUCGACAUCAGCGAUACACUGUUGGUGUCUGAGCGAAAGCAUUAAGUAUCCCACCUGGGAAGUACGAUCGCAAGAUUGAAACUCAAAGGAAUUGACGG